GACGAACGCUGGCGGCGUGCUUAACACAUGCAAGUCGAACGGAAAGGCCCUGCUUUUGUGGGGUGCUCGAGUGGCGAACGGGUGAGUAACACGUGAGUAACCUGCCCUUGACUUUGGGAUAACUUCAGGAAACUGGGGCUAAUACCGGAUAGGAGCUCCUGCUGCAUGGUGGGGGUUGGAAAGUUUCGGCGGUUGGGGAUGGACUCGCGGCUUAUCAGCUUGUUGGUGGGGUAGUGGCUUACCAAGGCUUUGACGGGUAGCCGGCCUGAGAGGGUGACCGGCCACAUUGGGACUGAGGUACGGCCCAGACUGCUACGGGAGGCAGCAGUGGAGAAUAUUGCACAAUGAGCGGAAGCCUGAUGCAGCAACGCCGCGUGCGGGAUGACGGCCUUCGGGUUGUAAACCGCUUUAGCCUGUGACGAAGCGGGAGUGACGGUAAUGGGUGAAGAAGCACCGGCUAACUACGUG
rnacentral:rRNA from 1 species